CACUGUGUUUACAGAUAAUCCAGCAAGUUUGCAGGCCAAAUGGCUCUCUAAAUCUAAGUCCACAAAGCACUGAAUGACACAGCAUGCUGCUCAGGGAGAUUCCAGCACAGCUCACCAGAAGCUCUCUUGUUUUCAACAACUGAUCCACGGUUAAUAGUGAUUAGCAUGGCGCAUCUGAGCUCCUGCUUUACUAAGCGUAAUG
rnacentral:lncRNA from 1 species